ensembl:lncRNA
GAAAGCAAUUAGAUCUGAGAUCCCCGGCGGAGGCACGCGCACACUGCCCCGCUCUCCACGAGCCGGCUGUCGUCCACACCCGCCCGCCCUCUCUCAGACGCCUUCUAAGGAUGGAGGCCUUGUGAAUUAGCUGUUUGUUCAGGUGGUUGAAGGCUCCCAGGGCCCGAAGGACAGAGCAUGAAGUUUCCUUCCCUCCUGUCCUUCCUCCAAGCCGCCAAGCUCCCCGCACGUGACCAGGGCCGGCCAUCCCUUUGGUGUCCUUCCGAAACCAGCGACGCCAUAAAUCCAUCCGUUUGAACAUAGCCUUUCUUCCAGAAGGCAAUCGCUUUUCCAACAGCGGGACUAUGAGCGUCCUAUGUCAUCUGCUGGUGUAAACAGCCAACCACUUCCCCCUGGACAAACAAGUUUGCUGCCGGCAGGAGAGCUCCCUGUUGAAAAUCAAAUAAAGCGCUUGAUUCCAGAUGAGAGCAUUUGGUUCCAGGUACCGCUCACUCGGUGAGCCGGGGCCGUCGCGCCCGGAGCUGGCUAAUGAGCAGGCGUGCGAUCCCCACCUCCCAGAUCACAACCCUGAAAGGCCCUUUUGUGGCGGGGAGGGGCCAGACCCCAGCCACAAUGCUCUCUUGUCAGAAGGGCCUCCUGGAGCUGCCAUGAGAGGGGGGCAGCUCUGCAAAGCAAAGCAGAGGGAAGGCAGUGAUUUUGUGGUGGUUUCUGAGGCCUGGUGGACUCAGUGGAGGCACUCAUGUUUCCAGGCCUGGCUGGAUGGCGGGCUCGUUGUGCAAGCGCGCCAGGCUGGGAUGCAGGGCAUGGAGAUGUCACCCUCCCUGAGAUAUGCCAGCCCCAAGAUGGAGGUGGGGGCACCAGGUGGUGCUGUGCCCGCCACUUUUCGCCGACAGAGAAACAGGGCUUCCCUGGGGGACAUGGCAGCCAGGAUGAAAUUCAGAUCUGCGGUUCCAGGUGAUUCCCGUCUUCCUGUUGUUCUAAAACCAAGUGCUUCACACAUUUGGGAAGAUGGACCAACUGGAUGGUCUGUGGUUGGGGCUAAUGUCUUCCAGUUUGCGGAGUGUCUCGUUACCAGGCCCCUCAAGAGGGCCUGCCAGAAUUGCUCUGACGGUGCACACGCCACUUGCAGCGGUGCCACGCGGCUCCGCCUAGGGAGCAUGCGGGGCUCGAGGCUCCAGACUCCCUCUCCAGACCCCACUUCUCGGCUCAGUGCCUGUGAACGUGAAAUUCUAAGCGAUCGCUGAAAGCCCAGCGGAGCGAUUAUUUGUGUUCGCUCUGCUCAAUACUACGUUAGAUGAUGGAGCAUAUUUGUUUAUCCACUCAUCCACUAAUGAACACUGGCUCUGCUUCCACCCACGGAUGUGCAAAUAUCUCUUCAAAACAUUAUCGUCGGUUCUUUUGGAAAUAUACCCAGAGGUGGGGUUCCCUGGAUGUUUUUAUGUGCACUUCCUCAAGAGUCCUAGUGAGGCUAGGCCCAUUUUCAUAUUCUUCGUGGACAAUCCAUGCUGCGUUUGACACAACAGUUAUGCGUGGUAUUGUUGCCUCUGUGUCUGCCUAGCCAUGACAUCACACACCGAUUGGCCACGGAGAAGAUGUCUGGCAAGUUCUGGCACAGGCCCUGGCCCCUUGCAGGGACUCAGUGAAUGUAUGUGUCUUCCUUAUUAUUUGCUGAAUAAAUGAAUGAAGGGGGUGAGCUGGAGUAGGGAGACAAAGGAAGAGCUACACCUCCCACAAAAGGCAAUUUCAUUUUCCAUUGUGAAAAUGAAGUGAGCCUCAAAGACAACGGGAUGGGGCGGGUGCUUGGUUUUGGGGUCUGGCAGGAGGAUCUGAAACAAACAAGGCAAGCAGGACCUUGCCAGGGAGUGGAGGCAGCCUCGUCAUCCUGCAGACAGUGACCUCACUGAGCUUGCUGGCUGCCUAACAUCCCAAAGAAGAGUGGUGCUGGAGCUGCCUGCGGGCCCCCGAUGGCCGUGGACAAGCUACUCUAGGGGGUGUCUGGCCCCACUCUGCACAGGGCUGUCGGCUGGACAGCGUUGCAGCUUCUCAACAAGCACAGCACACUGACAGCCGCCCAGGUGGUGUGUGGCGUCUAAGCGAUCUGUCAACGCAGUUCCCCUCAGCUCUGCACGGGAAGUGGGUCAGCAUCUCAGAGGACAGAGCUGGACCCCUGCCAUGCUGGGGUGCCAGCUGGUGCACAAGGAGAAGGCUAAGCUGGUGACGGCCCAUGGCUGCUAUGCCCAAGGACCCAGGUCAGUGUGAAGGCCAAGGGCUUUCCCAGGCCAAGAUCCAUCACCCCUCCUCCAGCAAAUGCCAGGCAGCCGAGGAGUCAGGAGAAGCUGAGCCUGUCCCCAGAAUGCCAGUCCCCUCCUUUGCAGACACGGUCUGUCAGCCGGCACCUCCUUUCCCCCUUCUUUCAUGGUAAUCGAAUUUUCCGCUCAGCAGUUGGCCACUGUCCGCAAAGAAUCCACUUCCAGACUUCCUUGCCGCUAGUUGUGGCCACGUGACCAGGUGCUGGUGCGAUGACGGCACGACGUGCCCUCCAGGGAAGCGGCGCCAAGCAGUGAACGAGCAGAGCAGACAGGCCCCGAGAAACCAAUACACACGCUGACCGCGGGGAACCUGGGCGGCCGUGCCAUCAUGUACACCAACCUCAACACCAGCCCUGGGGGUGCCCGCCCCUCAACCCUGCCCCUGCGUCCUUCCCCUGCCCAGCACUGGACUCGCUCAUGUGGAGCCAUGCACACGGGGGCAGCAGUCUAUGGCUGGCUGACAAACCAGAGAAACUACAGUUCUGGCCCCCGACACCAUGGACCUGCCCCUCAGCCCCACACGCUGUGUGGGACACCACCCACGGGCGGGCUUUAGCUUCUCCCUCGUUUAGACACACGGCAUCUGGACCUUUAUGGCCGCCGCCAAGCCCACACCUGCAAACACAUCUUCCACCCUCUCCUCCCCGCCCCCACACUCCAGCUUUGCUUUCCAGGCAAAUGAGAUGGGACAGUUUCUUCUACAACUUCCACUAUCUCAGUGCAGCUGGGGGCCUUUGAAUGGCUAUUGAUGGUCGGUGAUGAUCCCUCAAAAUGAAAUGUCCGUGUCCUAACCCCUGAAACCUGGGAAAGUGACUUCAUUUGGAAAAAGGAUCUUUGCGCGUGUAAGUUAAGAGUCUUGAGACUGGACUGGGGUGGCCCUAAAUCCUGGGACAGUGUCCUUAUAAGUGACAGAAGAGAACACACAGAGAAGAGGGGAAGCCAGGUGAGGACAGAGGCAGGGACCAGGCAAAGCAGCCAUAAGCCGAGGAUUCCUGGAGCCCCCAGGAUCCAGGAGAGGCAGGAGGGACCCUCCCCUGGAGCCUCUGGAGGGGGCAUGGCCCCUAGGGGUGUGUAUCUGACACCCCAUCAAUACCCCAACUGCAGACUUUUGGCCUCUCUGGGAAUGACUCCUGCUGCUUUACGCCACCCUGCUUGUGGUCCUUUGUUUCAGGGCCACGGGACACUCACACACUGGUUACUACUGCUCUCUGCCACCUUGGAGGUCUCUGUCUCCUUUCUGCAGAAGAUGUGUGGUUCCAUGUAAAAAGCAGGGGACAAGUGACCCAGGGACUUGCUACCAGCCCCAAGGCUCUCAGAUCCCUGCUUCUCCAAUGGCAUCUACCACCCCACACCCCAUCAGAGUCGACUCUGAGGACCUUGGUCCCAUGCCUGGCGGCCUUACUUCACUGCUCUCCGGCUUCCCUUCUCAAUGCUGGGGCCUGAGUGUGACCAAGUAGCCCCGCCACCUGGGCUCAAGUGACCCUCCCCCCACCCCAGCCUGCCUCGGGGGUCUUGCCUCUGGAAGCGUAAGGGCAGUGACUAGAAUGCAGGAAACACUUGUCUUCUCAAAGUCUCCAGACCGUCAGGAAGCCGCAGACCCCGAGGGCCUGUUUUGGAAGUGGAAGCUCUCUCUUUGCAUUCCUACCAUGACAUGCUAAUCCUUCCCGGGGUGAACUGCUGCCUCUCGGGGAAGUGCAGAGGGGUUCAGACUUCAGCACACACUCAGUUACAAGUCAUAUAAAGCUACAACAAGCGAGACCCCAGCACAGCGGCUGCAACAAGCAGAGCUCUCAUGCCUCAUACUCACGCGCUUGUAAUACAAGUCCCCGAGAGACGGUUCGUUUUUUGCAGGGCUCUCAGGCAGACCCUUUAUACCUCUGCGCCACACCCUUUGCGCAGCCUCAGCCACAGAACGGCUGGCGAGGCUAAGAGCAGUGGCAGCGCACCCUGUGCCUGCAUUUCACACACCCUGCUCCCUAAUCCUCCUAACUCCCAGAGCCGGCCCUGUUUCAUGGAAGGGGCCACAGGCACAGGGCGGGAUGGCGUAACUUGCCCGCAGCCACACAGCUAGUAAGGGCAGAGCAGGGGUUUGAACCCAGUCUGUCCAGAAUCUGAGCUCAAAACAAUGAUGUGAAACCAUCUAUCU